GGAGAAAAUUAGAAAAUCUUAGUUUGCCUGCUUGUAGCCAGUGUUUUGCUGCCAUGGACGGCAGCAAAAGUCUUAACGCCCCAUGGACGGGGCGUUUAAGACGUACACGUCAUUUUUAAACAAACCGAAUUAGGCAGACUUAGAUUUUCUUAUCUUCGGAC
rnacentral:ncRNA from 1 species